rnacentral:rRNA from 1 species
GACGAACGCUGGCGGCGUGCUUAACACAUGCAAGUCGAACGGUGAAGGGGAGCUUGCUCCCUGGAUCAGUGGCGAACGGGUGAGUAACACGUGGGCAACCUGCCCCUGACUUCGGGAUAACGCUUCGAAAGAGGUGCUAAUACCGGAUAUGAACCCUGAGGGCAUCCUCGGGGUUGGAAAGUUUUUCGGUCAGGGAUGGGCCCGCGGCCUAUCAGCUUGUUGGUGAGGUAGUGGCUCACCAAGGCGACGACGGGUAGCCGGCCUGAGAGGGCGACCGGCCACACUGGGACUGAGACACGGCCCAGACUCCUACGGGAGGCAGCAGUGGGGAAUAUUGCGCAAUGGGCGAAAGCCUGACGCAGCAACGCCGCGUGAGGGAUGAAGGCCUUCGGGUUGUAAACCUCUUUCAGCAGGGAAGAAGCGAAAGUGACGGUACCUGCAGAAGAAGCACCGGCUAACUACGUGCCAGCCGCCGCGGAAGAC